GUAAUCGUGGCCCAGUGGUUAAGGCAAUGUACUUGAAAUCUAUUGGGGUUUUCCCGCACAGGUUUGACUCCUGUCGAUUACA